rnacentral:rRNA from 1 species
UACGUAGGGUCCGAGCGUUGUCCGGAUUUAUUGGGCGUAAAGAGCUCGUUGGCGGUUCCGUAAGGCCGAUGUGAAAACUCAGGGCUCAACCCGGAGACGCCAUCUGAUACUGCGGUGACUGGAGUCUGGUAGGGGAACACGGAAUUCCUGGUGUAGCGGUGAAAUGCGCAGAUAUCAGGAGGAACACCGAUGGCGAAGGCAGUGUUCUGGGCCAGUACUGACGCUGAGGAGCGAAAGCGUGGGGAGCAAACAGG